rnacentral:rRNA from 1 species
CCUACGGGGGGCAGCAGUGAGGAAUAUUGGUCAAUGGACGAGAGUCUGAACCAGCCAAGUAGCGUGAAGGAUGACUGCCCUAUGGGUUGUAAACUUCUUUUAUAUGGGAAUAAAAUGUUCCACGUGUGGGAUUUUGUAUGUACCAUAUGAAUAAGGAUCGGCUAACUCCGUGCCAGCAGCCGCGGUAAUACGGAGGAUCCGAGCGUUAUCCGGAUUUAUUGGGUUUAAAGGGAGCGUAGGUGGAUUGUUAAGUCAGUUGUGAAAGUUUGCGGCUCAACCGUAAAAUUGCAGUUGAAACUGGCAGGCUUGAGUAUAGUAGAGGUGGGCGGAAUUCGUGGUGUAGCGGUGAAAUGCUGAGAUAUCACGCAGAACUCCGAUUGCGAAGGCAGCUCACUGGACUGCGACUGACACUGAGGCUCGAAAGCGUGGGUAUCAAACAGGAUUAGAUACCCCGGUAGUC